rnacentral:rRNA from 1 species
AAGUCGUAACAAGGUUUCCGUAGGUGAACCUGCGGAAGGAUCAUUAUUGAUUGUGAAUCGUUGCCUCCAGUGCUGGCUCUCGCAAGUGCACGGUUGGUGACUUUCAUCCAACACCCUGUGAACCUUUGGCCUCUUGCUAGCUUCGGCUGGCAGGGGAUUUUUACACACACUCGAAUGUAAUGAAAUUAUCGUCGUGCGCAAGCACUUAUGUACAACUUUCAACAACGGAUCUCUUGGCUCUCGCAUCGAUGAAGAACGCAGCGAAAUGCGAUAAGUAAUGUGAAUUGCAGAAUUCAGUGAAUCAUCGAAUCUUUGAACGCACCUUGCACCCUUUGGCAUUCCGAAGGGUAUGCUCGUUUGAGUGUCAUUGUACUCUCACACUUCUGAUCCUUUGGAUUUGGAGCGGUGGACUUGGGUGUUGCCACUUGACGGUGGCUCACCUCUAAUGCAUUAGUGCAACUCCUGGUUGGACCAUAGUACGGCGUGAUAAGUGUCUUCGCCGGCACCUCGUGAGAGGGUGGCCGAUCGAGAGCUCUGUGCUUUCAAACCGUCCUUGCAAGGACAAUGACUGACAACUUGACCUCAAAUCGAGUAGGACUACCCGCUGAACUUAA